CGUCACAACCUACGACGGUUUUACGAUUUCGUAGUGCUAAGAUGGCUUCGAAAAUAUGGGUCCAGGGCCAGGUGACCUGUACCGCCUCUAUUUGCGAUCAUGCUCUGCCCACGACCCUCCUGAUCAACUCCGCAACCUGAAAGAGGAAUAACAUUGUUUUCUUUUAGUGACUCACUUCAAAAUUUCCGUCUUACUUGAAAGGAUUCUCAAAACGUUCAACCAUGACCUAGCGCGGUGGUUUUUGUUUUCGGCGCUGCGCUGCUGACGGUAAACAGAUUGCAGCACGGAGAACAUGCUUUUAAUAGCGCGCACAAAUUACCAUCAGAAUGAACGCACACGGAAAGAGAUUGAAACAGAAUCAUUAUCCCACACGUCUGCAGACACAAAACUGGCAGCCAUUUGCAUUUUCCCAUUCACCCAUGUGUUAAUUUUGUCGCCGUAGAAGCGUCAUACCGCGCGGCAGGCAAAUUAUGUAAAGACACUCCAGAGGAGUUAUGUAAAGUUUGCUAGUUUACACAAUUCGCAAAAAAAAAGAAAGAAAAA